rnacentral:ncRNA from 2 species
CGGUGGGGUAGAGGUUGCGGCUUGUAUCAGUAGCCUGUGGGAGAUGUGGAGACAUCGCAGAAAACAGGGGAAAGGAUAAGCUGCCGAAAUUGCCGUGUUUCUCCGGACCGGCAGUUGGGUCUGUUUCCGAACAGGGGCAGAACUGUCACGGUUACUUGCCAUUGACCGUGGAGCGCUAUCUUCAGU